rnacentral:tRNA from 2 species
UGCAGUUUAGUGUAAUAGUAACACAUUCGGCUCAUGAUCGAAUGAUAUUGGUGCAAUUCCUUUAGCUGCUU